rnacentral:snoRNA from 1 species
GUUGAGGAUGAUUGUGGCACUUGUCCGUACCAUACGACUACGGAAUGACUUUAAUUUCCACUCUGGCUGAAAC